rnacentral:miRNA from 1 species
CAUCCUUGAAAUCUGAUUGG